UACAGAGGGUGCAAGCGUUAAUCGGAAUUACUGGGCGUAAAGCGUGCGUAGACGGUUGCGUAAGUCAGAUGUGAAAGCCCCGGGCUCAACCUGGGAAUUGCAUUUGAGACUGCGUAGCUAGGGUGCGGAAGAGGGAAGCGGAAUUUCCGGUGUAGCGGUGAAAUGCGUAGAUAUCGGAAGGAACACCAGUGGCGAAAGCGGCUUCCUGGUCCAGCACCGACGUUCAAGCACGAAAGCGUGGGGAGCAAACAGG
rnacentral:rRNA from 1 species